AGGGCACCACCAGGAGUGGAGCCUGCGGCUUAAUUUGACUCAACACGGGAAAUCUCACCAGGCCCGGACACUGGAAGGAUUGACAGAUUGAGAGCUCUUUCUCGAUUCGGUGGGUGGUGGUGCAUGGCCGUUCUUAGUUGGUGGAGUGAUUUGUCUGGUUAAUUCCGAUAACGAACGAGACUCUGUCCUGCUAAAUAGUUCCCGCGUCCUUUGUUGCGCGGGAAAUUCUUCUUAGAGGGACUGGCGGCGUCUAGCCGCACGAGAUUGAGCAAUAACAGGUCUGUGAUGCCCUUAGAUGUCCGGGGCCGCACGCGCGCUACACUGAAGUGAUCAGCGUGCAUUCUCAACCUACUCUGCCAAGAGUGGGGAACCCAAUGAACCUUCUUCGUGAUUGGGAUAGGGGAUUGUAAUUAUUCCCCUUGAACGAGGAAUUCCCAGUAAGCGCGAGUCAUAAGCUCGCGUUGAUUACGUCCCUGCCCUUUGUACACACCGCCCGUCGCUACUACCGAUUGAAUGUUU
rnacentral:rRNA from 1 species